GAUGAACGCUGGCGGCGUGCCUAAUACAUGCAAGUCGAGCGAAUGGAUUAAGAGCUUGCUCUUAUGAAGUUAGCGGCGGACGGGUGAGUAACACGUGGGUAACCUGCCCAUAAGACUGGGAUAACUCCGGGAAACCGGGGCUAAUACCGGAUAACAUUUUGAACCGCAUGGUUCGAAAUUGAAAGGCGGCUUCGGCUGUCACUUAUGGAUGGACCCGCGUCGCAUUAGCUAGUUGGUGAGGUAACGGCUCACCAAGGCAACGAUGCGUAGCCGACCUGAGAGGGUGAUCGGCCACACUGGGACUGAGACACGGCCCAGACUCCUACGGGAGGCAGCAGUAGGGAAUCUUCCGCAAUGGACGAAAGUCUGACGGAGCAACGCCGCGUGAGUGAUGAAGGCUUUCGGGUCGUAAAACUCUGUUGUUAGGGAAGAACAAGUGCUAGUUGAAUAAGCUGGCACCUUGACGGUACCUAACCAGAAAGCCACGGCUAACUACGUGCCAGCAGCCGCCGUAAUAC
rnacentral:rRNA from 1 species